rnacentral:rRNA from 2 species
UGGGGAAUAUUGCACAAUGGGGGAAACCCUGAUGCAGCAAUGCCGCGUGAGUGAUGACGGCCUUCGGGUUGUAAAGCUCUGUCUUCAGGGACGAUAAUGACGGUACCUGAGGAGGAAGCCACGGCUAACUACGUGCCAGCAGCCGCGGUAAUACGUAGGUGGCAAGCGUUGUCCGGAUUUACUGGGCGUAAAGGGAGCGUAGGCGGAUUUUGAAGUGAGAUGUGAAAUACCCGGGCUUAACUUGGGUGCUGCAUUUCAAACUGGAAGUCUAGAGUGCAGGAGAGGAGAAGGGAAUUCCUAGUGUAGCGGUGAAAUGCGUAGAUAUACGGAGGAACACCAGUGGCGAAGGCGGAUUGCUGGACAGUAACUGACGCUGAGGCGCGAAAGCGUGGGGAGCAAACAGG